AUAUUCACUUCAUUAGCACAUAUACUAAAAUUGGAACAAGACAGAGAAGAAUAGCAUGGCCCUUGUGCAAGGAUGACACAAAAAUUUAAAAGAGGUCCAUAUUUAA
ensembl:snRNA U6 U6 spliceosomal RNA